UAUAGUCUACACACAUCUGAAAUAUCCUACCUAUACAGGAAAGUUUCAACGAUCUCUUCGUGGACACAAUGACGCCUCUACGUUUCGCUGUUGUCUUCGUCCUCCUCUUUGGUGGAUUUGUCGCCAGUGAAGCUGCACCUGAAGGACACGAGCUUGAACG